CUAAAAACAAAAUCUUCAUUUAUUUGAAGACACAAUUCUCUGUACGGGCACUUGCCAUGACUUUAUUUUUGAAUAUUUCUGUGUUCAUGUGGUAGGGAAAACAUUGUUGUAUACUACAAAUUCCCUGUUUUGCUUUUAGGUUGGAGACUACAUAAGACUUUGACAGUUGGCGGGAAACCAUCAUCAACUGGAGAGAUGCCGGUAAAAAGAUGGCCAUAAAACAGUGACCGCUGAUUCGCAUUGAGUUCUUUCUUACAUAUUGGAUGACCUAUGUUUUUUAUUGUUUAAAUCAUUGCGGCUUGGAAUGCUCUUUAAGAAAAGGUAGAGGAAUGUCUGCGACUAAGUCAUGGGCCACUGGAUAAGGGUUGUUGAUGGCAAAACAGGUUGGAGACUACAUAAGACUUUGACAGUUGGCGGGAAACCAUCAUCAACUGGAGAGAUGCCGGUAAAAAGAUGGCCAUAAAACAGUGACCGCUGA